rnacentral:rRNA from 1 species
UCGAGAAUUUUUCUCAAUGGGGGAAACCCUGAAGGAGCGACGCCGCGUGGAGGAUGAAGGUUUUCGGAUUGUAAACUCCUGUCAUUGGGGAACAAUUCUGUGGGUUUAACUGGCCUGCAGUUGAUAGUACCCGAAGAGGAAGAGACGGCUAACUCUGUGCCAGCAGCCGCGGUAAUACAGAGGUCUCAAGCGUUGUUCGGAUUCAUUGGGCGUAAAGGGUGCGUAGGCGGUGAAGUAAGUUGGAUGUGAAAUCCCGGAGCUUAACUCCGGAACUGCAUUCAAUACUGCUUUGCUAGAGUACUGGAGAGGAGAUUGGAAUUCACGGUGUAGCAGUGAAAUGCGUAGAUAUCGUGAGGAAGACCAGUGGCGAAGGCGAAUCUCUGGACAGUUACUGACGCUGAGGCACGAAGGCCAGGGGAGCAAACGGGAUUAGAUACCCCCGUAGUCC